CCGCAUUGGAAGGAAACACGAGAUUCGCUGGAAGACACGUUGAUUUACAAAAGCUUAAAUUUUUCAUCAGCUGUAAUAACCAAGUUUGAAACCGAUCUGAACAUAAAAUUCGACGAUGCCAUCAAAGCGAAAAUCAAAAAUCAUGAUUUAGUCGACGCGUACACUUCAUUAGCUUCUUAUGUGAAGAACAAAUACGAUUACAUGGCAACAAUAAUGCUAAAUCAUUCUGAUGGUCAUGACCGUUGGGCUGUUUGGAUCAUGAUGAUAGGUAUCACCAUUCACGAUGACUGGCCCAAGAUCGAUGACCUCUUCAAACAAAAAAACAAUGGAGUAUCAUUGAAGGAUCAUAUUUUGAAAGCCACCGACGAUCCUGAUCGAAUUAUUUAUGAAAUGAUGGCUGUUAUGGUAGAUACUACCUAUAAACCAACCUAUCUCUGAAUACGAGUAUUUUUGAGGAACAGACGUUUUUCAACAGUGUGAUCCUGAUACUUAUCUGA